UUAAUUAUCUAUUAACGUGGAUUUGGACGACAAUAGGUAAGAACACUAAAUUUAUUUCUAUAUUCGAUAUAAACUUGUUUAUUAGGUUUUUAGUUUGUGAUGUUUCAUUGAUGAUCAUUUUCAUGUUCAUCGUCUUUGAAUUGACAUGAGGAUAUCUAUGGAAAAGUAACUAAUCUGAAAGUAAGCCAACAUAUCGUUUGUCCUUUGUGUGCUAAAGAAAAGAUUUUCUUUUCGCAUCAUGAGGAAGUAUUACAUCAAUUAAAAAAUGUUAGGAAGUUGAUUACUUGUCAUGGAAAAGUAUACCAAUGGAAAUUAUUUGUUAAAGAAGUAUAAUUCUAAGGGUUUUAAGAAUAAAUUGGUUGAACCCAAAAUCUGGAGGAAGUACCUAUAUCCAUACACAGAAUAUGCCCAUUAAAAAUACUAGUCCAAAUUUGCUUUAAUGGUAGACAAUUAUUCAAUACAAAUUAACUUUUUAAGUGACUGAAAUAUUAAAUAGUUUAGAAUAUGGUAUAACAAUGUAAAAAAAUAUUAUUUUCAGGAACGAUUAGGGCCCGAUAUAUUUGAAACUCAUGUUGGACAUAGUAUUGAGUUGGGUAGAAUAUUAUUCUACGUUAAGUGAGGGUAUCAGAUACCUAUUAUUGUACUGUAUUUUAAUAUAUACAUUAGAAUUGUUGGUUUUUU